CCUACGGGUGGCAGCAGUGGGGAAUAUUGCACAAUGGGGGAAACCCUGAUGCAGCGACGCCGCGUGAGUGAAGAAGUAUUUCGGUACGUAAAGCUCUAUCAGCAGGGAAGAAAAUGACGGUACCUGACUAAGAAGCCCCGGCUAACUACGUGCCAGCAGCCGCGGUAAUACGUAGGGGGCAAGCGUUAGCCGGAUUUACUGAGUGUAAAGGGAGCGUAGACGGCAGCGCAAGUCUGGAGUGAAAUCCCCUGGCUUAACCAUGGAACUGCUUUGGAAACUGUGCAGCUAGAGUGCAGGAGAGGUAAGCGGAAUUCCUAGUGUAGCGGUGAAAUGCGUAGAUAUUAGGAGGAACACCAGUGGCGAAGGCGGCUUACUGGACUGUAACUGACGUUGAGGCUCGAAAGCGUGGGGAGCAAACAGGAUUAGAUACCCCUGUAGUC
rnacentral:rRNA from 1 species